rnacentral:pre_miRNA from 15 species
UCCUGUCCCCCCAGCCAGUCCCAGAGGCUCCAAAGUGCUGUUCGUGCAGGUAGCGUGUGCAGCCGACUACUGCCGAGUCAGCGCUUCGCGAGCCCCCCGGACACCCCGUCGGGGGGACCCC